rnacentral:rRNA from 1 species
CCUACGGGUGGCUGCAGUGGGGAAUAUUGGACAAUGGGCGAAAGCCUGAUCCAGCCAUGCCGCGUGUGUGAAGAAGGCCUUCGGGUUGUAAAGCACUUUCAGUGGGGAAGAAAGCCUUGGGGCUAAUACCCUCGAGGAAGGACAUCACCCACAGAAGAAGCACCGGCUAACUCCGUGCCAGCAGCCGCGGUAAUACGGAGGGUGCGAGCGUUAAUCGGAAUUACUGGGCGUAAAGCGCGCGUAGGCGGUCUGAUAAGCCGGUUGUGAAAGCCCCGGGCUCAACCUGGGAACGGCAUCCGGAACUGUCAGGCUAGAGUGCAGGAGAGGAAGGUAGAAUUCCCGGUGUAGCGGUGAAAUGCGUAGAGAUCGGGAGGAAUACCAGUGGCGAAGGCGGCCUUCUGGACUGACACUGACGCUGAGGUGCGAAAGCGUGGGUAGCAAACAGGAUUAGAUACCCCUGUAGC